GAAGCACCGGUUCUCGUACGAUCACCGAAGUUAAGCAAGGUCGAACCUGGUCAGUACCUAGAUGGGUGGCCGCUUGGACAUACCAAAUGCUGUAAU